AAUAUUGAACAAUGGACAGAAGCAUCAUCCCAUCUUGCCGCAAGCAGGAAGACGGCAUUAUGGGUUGUAAACUGUUGUAAUACAAGAAAAAAACAUUCUACGAGUUGUGUGCUGACGGUAUAGUAAGAAUAAGCGCCGAACAACUCCGUGGCAGCAGCGGCGGUAAUACGGAUGGUACAAGCAUUAUCCGGAAUCAUGGGUUUUAAAGGGUCCGUAGGCGGGAUAUUUAGUCAGAGGUGAAAUCCCACAGCUUAACUAUGGAACUACUUUUAAUAUUGAUAGUCAUGAGUGAUGAGGAAGUAGGUAGAAGGUGUAGUGUAGCGGUAAAAUGCAAAAAUAUUACACAGAAUGAUGAUAGGAAGGCAGUCUAGUACGUAAAUAAGACGAUGAUGGAAGAAGGGGUGGGGGACGAAGAUUACUAGAUACUGUAGUACUCCACGCAAAA
rnacentral:rRNA from 1 species